GGCAGCUCUGCGGGACCCCAGUCGGAGCCGGCCCGCGGAGGAGGAGGAUCCUAGGACCCAGGAAAACAGAGGAGCUGAUGUACCCCGAGGAAGACCGCUGUGUUCCCCAAGAGGCACAGAUAUGCUUAUGAGUGUCUUAUGAGACCACCUAACUACCUACAGGAAGUACCACAGCAACCAGGUGACAUAAGGAUUCCUUCAAGGACAGUUUGCUGAGGAGCAUAAUGAAAAACAGUUGGUGAUGGUAUUUACGGAGCAGCUGCAGAUGGUAGAGUGUGACUCCAGGCCCAAGAAAGAAGCACUGACUGGUGGAAUCGCAUCGUAAAGCAGGUUUAGGACAAGGAGCAGUGGCUGCAGAACUUUUGGCUGCAAAAGAACACAUCACUUGCUCCUUGUGCUGAGUGGGAAACUGCAUGGUGAUCACUCCCUGGAAGCUUGCAAUGCAAAAUUGCUACCAAUCCAUGGGAAAUCAUUUUGGAGUUGGAAAAUCCAUGGGGGCAUGGAGGAAAACAUUGUCAUAGGAGUCUGUAGGACCACUAAUCAUCUGAUAUGCAGGAUUGUGACUCUCAACAAUCUUCAGGAAAUGGUGAAUGGGGUUCCCAAACUGCACUGGAGUAACAGACAGCGUGAUUAUCCUUAUUUUGGCAUCAGCCCACCUUGCUAUACAAUACAUCAACAGAAAGUGCUACUUUUCCAUGGUUCUGCAAGUGGGGUAGAUCACCCAUAUUGAUGCUGCCAAGGAUGGUGCAUAAUCCUUGCAUCCUUAAAAACACAGGACUGUUCAGAAAGCAACAAGAAUAUUCUUCCUUAUCAGCACAUUAUCAUUGCCAAUUUUAACACUCCAAUAGUGGUACUGAGAAACUCAGCCUACCCUUUGCACCGCUGGCUCAUGAAGCCAUACACCAGGGGUGGGGAACCUCAGGCCCGGGAACCAGAUGCAGCUCCUGGCUUUCCUAAAUCUGGCCCCCAAGGCUCAGGGCCCCCUCUCCAGCAUUGGUCCACACUGGUCCUCCCACUGCCCCACAGCACACAAAAUCUACUAGCCUGGGGGCCCCCUAGGCUCUGAUGUCUGAGAGAAAUAUGGAGAGUGUCUUUCUCCUUCUCAAUCAUGUCAGU